UUGUCUUCAGGGGAGGCUGUGUAUGAUUUGAUCUGGGGGAUGUGGUUAUGGGGCGAGUGGUAUGACUUGGAAUGGGGUUCCAGAUUUUGAGAGGAAAAAAAGUGAAGAUGGGUAAGUGAAUCACUCUUCUAGGGGUCCUGGUGCAGGGUGUUGGGGCAGGGAUGGUGUGUGUGUGUGUGUGUGUUUGUGUUUGUGUGUGUGUGUGUGUGUGUAUAGCUUAUUAAGCUACACAGUAAUCUCAUUGAUUUAUAUACUAUGGUUGUCUGUAGAGACCUUUGACUUAUCCCAUGUGUGCCAAAUGACUUGUUCCUCUUGGCUCUCUCUCUUUUCUCUUUUCAUUUUAGAGUGUAUACACAAACAAACAGGGUGAAGCAUUUUGUAUAGACAACAUGUAAGGCAAAAAAGCAAUGAUUGUGUUUCACUGUCUGCAGUUAUAUGUGUUUUUGUAUGACAGAGGAAGCAGCCUUUUGUCUACAGACUGGGAGGAGUGUCAGCAGGUCAUGUGGUGAUGUUUUUUUUUCUCCCUGGUCCAAGAUUCAAAGGAAACUGGCAAAAAAAAUGUUCAUAUUAGUUGUCUGCUUGUGAGACAUACAACAUGUCUGACAAACGAUUACACCAUCUGUAGAACUUGAAACUGUGGCUUUCAGUUGAUAAAAAGGGGAAACAAUGAAACUGAUGUGUUCCAGUUGGAGCGGCUGGCCCUGAAACGCCCAGCAUGUUGGCCAGAGUUGUCCAUCUGUGUAGAGAAAUGAAACCUAAUAGGAUGGACAAGCCACAGUGUGGUUAACGCAGCUAACUUAUUGUUCAACUUUUUCAACAUAUACUACAGCCCAGCAUGUUAAUGUGAGGUAGAAGGUAUAUCUGCUAGGGCAAAUAGGCGAGAAGUAGAUCAAAUGAUCAAUAAGGUGGCAGGGAGAAUAGAGAGAUUUAGAUAGCAUGGGAGCCCUGGAUUUGUAGACUGAUGUGAAAUAAUCUGAUCAUACACUCACUGAUAUCCCAUAUCUCCAGCCUGGUCAGUUUGUGAUGGCCCUUCAGAGAUGGUAGCCAUCAACAAACUGGUGCAUCUUGCUCCUUUUGUGGCAAUAUCAAAAUUGACUGUUAAGUAAUCAUUGUGUGUGUGUGUGUGUGUGUGUGUGUUUUCCAGGAAUACAUUUAACAUAUUCAGUCAUUCCAGCAGAAAUUAGCCAAUGUUUGUCUUUUUACAAUGUCAGUGGAUGGAAUGUAUUCUGCUGAAAUCAAACUUGCUCUCUCAGAAAUAUGAUUUACUUUCAUCUCUGUCUAUGGGCUUUGGCACAUUUGAUUGGCUCAUGUAGGUUAUUUCUUGAGAAGAUUCAAAGUGAGAACAUCUAAAAAGCCAAUAAGACACCUUUGCGACUAAUUGAUGACCCUGUAGUUUCUUUGACAAUUUACUUUAUGUAAUUAAAAAUGAAGUGUCUAAUUGACAUAUGCAAGUAACAGGUGCCUGAGAAAUUAGUUCAUUUUGGAAGCAGUUGCCUCAUUUACCCCCAUACAUGUACCUUCCUUUUCUUAACACCAACAUACAAAACUACUGUAAAGAGUCAGUACUGGUUUGUCUAGACUCUGGUUAACACAAUAUACUACCUGUGUGUGUUUACUUGAGAGAGAAAGGCAAUUUAAUGAUGUGUGUGUGUGUGAGAGAGAGAGAGAGUGUGUGUGUGCGCGUUAUGUUGUACAGUACCUCUGUUGUGAUGUUUGUUCAUGUCCCAAGGUUUACUAUUAAAUAAUACUUUGAAUCAA